rnacentral:rRNA from 1 species
UACGUAGGUGGCAAGCGUUGUCCGGAUUUACUGGGCGUAAAGAGCGCGCAGGCGGUCGAUCAAGUCGAGUGUGAAAGCCCCGGGCUUAACUUGGGAAUUGCGCUCGAAACUACGUGGCUGGAGUGUGGCAGAGGAAGGUGGAAUUCCACGUGUAGCGGUGAAAUGCGUAGAUAUUCGGAAGAACACCAGUGGCGAAGGCGACUUACUGGACGAUUGUGACGCUGAGGUGCGAAAGCGUGGGGAGCAAACAGG